ACCAUGAUAUUCAGCAAAAUAUGUUGCAAGUGACCUUAAACUUCAGAAAGUAUUGCAAAAAUCAGAAAGACAUUUCAUUUCUCCUUCUGGUUCCUUCUUUUCACUUUUUUAUCUGUCACCUGACAAUGAUAAAAAAAAAAAAAAAGAAUACUGAACAGAUUAACAAAACCAAUCACUUAAUAGACCACUUUCGAGUUCGUUGCAUUUCCGUCAAACAUUUUUAUACGACCGCAAAAAAAUUAUGUGGUCGUAUAUUGGUAUGACGUUGGUGUCGUCGUCGUCCGAAGACACAUUGGUUUUCACACUCUAACUUUAGUUUAAGUGAAUGGAUCUCUAUAAAAUAUUACCAUAAGGUUCAAAAGGAAGGUGGGGAUUGAUUUUGGGGGUUAUGGUACCAACAGUUAAGGAAUUAGGGGCCAAAAAUAAGCAUUUUUGUAACUUCCAGACAUAACUUGUGUGUAAGUGUAUGGAUCUCUCUGACAUUGUACCACAAGGUUCCAUAUCACAAAGGGAAUGCUGGGAUUGAUUUUGGGGGUAAUUGUCUCAAAAUUUUAGGAAUUAGGGGCCAAAAAGGGGCAAAAAACAAGCAUUUUUCUAGUUUCAUGACAAUAACUUGUGUGUAAGUGUAUGGAUCUUUAUGAAAUUGUACUACAAGGUUCCAUAUCACGAAGGGAAAGCUGGAAUUGAUUUUGGGGGUAAUUGCCCACAACGUUUAGGAAUAAGGGGCCAAAAAUAAGCAUUUUUCUAGUUUUCAGACAAUAACUUGUGUUCAAGUGUAUGGAUCUCUCUGAAAUUGUACUGCAAGGUACCAUACCACAAAAGGAAUGCUGGGAUUGAUUUUGGGGGUAAUUCCCUAGAAAUUUGAGGAAUUAGGGGCCAUAAAGGGGCAAAAAAACAAGCAUUUUUCUAGUUUCAGGACAAUAACUUGUGUGUAAGUGUAUGGAUCUUUAUGAAAUUGUACUGCAAGGUUCCAUAUCACAAAGGGAAAGCUGGGUUUGAGUUUGGGGGUAAUUGCCCUAAAUGUUUAGGAAUUUGGGGCCAAAAAGGGGCCAAAAAACAAGCAUUUUUCUAGUUUCCAGACAAUAAUUUGUGUUCAAGUGUAUGGAUCUCUCUGAAAAUGUACUCAUACAUGUGAACCUCCCGACGGGAGUACAAUAAUCCCGUUUUCAGGGGUCUCCUCAUCCCGACCUCCCGUUGAAAAAAAAAAAAUCCCGUGUAUGAAAUAUUUCAUGAAUGAAAAAUUUCAGCCCAACAUAUCUGGUGUAACUGACAUUACCUGAAGUUAUAUUUUACCUGUAAAUCAAUUAACAUGCAUAAUUAUAUGGCUUCACUUGUCACUUUGGGUGUCAAACAUACUGGUAAUCAACGAUUUUUACCUCAGGCUAACUGCUGUUGUGUAAUAAAACUUUGUGUAUUUAAAAUGAAUGUUGGGUUACUUCCCUUGAUUUAUCCUGUUUUAAGUUACUUUCCUUUAAAUAAUGUAAAUUUUUAAAAGAAUAUAAAUAAAAUAUAAAUUGAACAAAUAAUCAUAAAAGGAUGGUAAUUAAAUGAUUAUAAAUGUCUUAGGACAAAUAAAAAAAUAAUAAUUUGAAAAUUAUUUGAGGGUUCUAUACUUCCUUUCAAGGCUUAAAUUGAAAUUUAUAUAAUAACUAUGACCCCUGUUUACAGUUUGAAUGUGUUACUUAUCAUGCAUUUAAAAUCUACUUGCAUAAAGAUAAAAAUAAAAAAUCUACUUGCAGAUAGAUAAGCAAAUGUUCUGAUUGCAAUGAAUAAUGGUAAAAAAGAUAUGACCUAAAAAAUUUAAAGAACAUACUAAAAAAGAAGAAUGUUAGAUUGAACAAGUUGAAAGUUUAAAAA